ACGGGUGAGUAACACGUGGGUGAUCUGCCCUGCACUUUGGGAUAAGCCUGGGAAACUGGGUCUAAUACCGAAUACACCUUGCCGGCUGCAUGGCCUGGUGGGGGAAAGCUUUUGCGGUGUGGGAUGGGCCCGCGGCCUAUCAGCUUGUUGGUGGGGUGAUGGCCUACCAAGGCGACGACGGGUAGCCGGCCUGAGAGGGUGUCCGGCCACACUGGGACUGAGAUACGGCCCAGACUCCUACGGGAGGCAGCAGUGGGGAAUAUUGCACAAUGGGCGCAAGCCUGAUGCAGCGACGCCGCGUGAGGGAUGACGGCCUUCGGGUUGUAAACCUCUUUCAGUAUCGACGAAGCGCAAGUGACGGUAGGUACAGAAGAAGCACCGGCCAACUACGUGCCAGCAGCCGCGGUAAUACGUAGGGUGCGAGCGUUGUCCGGAAUUACUGGGCGUAAAGAGCUCGUAGGUGGUUUGUCGCGUUGUUCGUGAAAACUCACAGCUCAACUGUGGGCGUGCGGGCGAUACGGGCAGACUGGAGUACUGCAGGGGAGACUGGAAUUCCUGGUGUAGCAGUGGAAUGCGCAGA
rnacentral:rRNA from 1 species